rnacentral:ncRNA from 5 species
UCGUACCGUGAGUAAUAAUGCGAG